UUGACCACCAUUUUGCACUUUCUCUGCUGACAUUUUCCGCCUGUCGAUUCACCUAAGUACUGUGUGUUGGCAAACAGGCCCUGAAGACACAUUUCAGUGCAGACAAUACUCUCAAGGCUCGCCCCCUGUCGGGAUGUUGAAUGAUGGCUUCCCCAGUUCCCUGUUGGCUCCAGGAGGUCUGGGAUUUGACCACAGGUUCUUGGGAGCACACGAGGACAGCUCCCUUUCAAUCUGAGCAGCGAAGGACACACAGCCAAGAAUCCAUCAGUGUGGACCCCGUUGUACAAACAGUGAGCUCGGAAAAAGUUUGACUCACGCAGGGCUCAGAGUUGAGUAAGACUGGCCGCUAUUUUCCUAAUCCUUGCUGGCAGCUCUGGGUUUGGUUUUGGUGUGAGUUGGCUUCAGUGAAGCUGAUCUACCCUAGACCUGGCUUUCAGAGAGGCAGAAAUUCCUGACUUCCACCGAGACUGGGCGACAGGAUCCUCCAGCCACCGGCCAGCCAUCUCUCUCUCUCUGUCUGCCCUUACUGCUGGAAACUGCCCAGCCCAGGUUCAUGGCGGAAACUCUGUUUCUAAAGGGCAAUACACCUGAUGUAAUGAAAAGGAAAGGAAAAAGCUACAGCAGAUGAAGGGCUUCAGGAACGAACAUCUAAUUGACGCUUCGGUGCAAGGAUCACAGCCGCGCUUUUGCAAACGGUGUGGCUAUGCCAGUCCUGAGCAAGAAGGAUUUCCUGCUUGAGCUGCUGGAACUUUUCUGACUGUAGAUGACUUCUCCUCCUGUGGCAAAUUAUUCACAGUUCCUCUGGAUUUGGGACAACUGUCUCAGAGUCAGCUGCACCUUUCCUGACAACUUCCCAAGCUCUCCUGCUAAGACCCGGAGCCAUUUUCUGCCUUUUUUUUUAAACCUUCUGCUGUCACAUCUGUCCCUUAGCCCUGCCAGAUCCAUAGCCACCACCAGGGAACACCCGAGCUCCUUCCACCAAAACUGUCACCUUUCACAGGUCCAUAGUUUGAUUGUUGUUGGUCACUACAAUUUCCAUAUCCUCACAGUCCCUCCCCACCAUAGUUACCUCCACCAAAGCCUCCUCCUUUACUGUAACCAUAUCCCCCUCCUCCACCACAUUCACCUCCUUGGCUUCCACAUUCUGGUCCAGCUCCACCAUCCCUUCCUCUGCUACUAUAAUCGCAACCACCACAGCUGUCACUGUCACUGUCCCCUCCAAAUUCAUUAUAUCUACCGUCACUACCUCCACAGCUACCUCCACCGGCGCCACACCCACCACCAUAGCCUCCUCUUCAUCUAAAGUUGCCUCUGCCACCUCCGAAGUUCCCUCCAUGGCUCACAGAGUUACCAGAUCCGCCCUCUGCAACCUCCCUGCGACCCAGCAGACUGCGCCUCUUGCUAAGAAAGGGCCCUUCUCCAGGGACUAAGCCACUACCUAAAGACUAUACAUGGACUGACCCUGGACUCUGACCUCAUAGGUAGCAAUGAAUAGCCUAGUAAGAGCACCAGUGGAAGGGGAAGCCCUGGGUCCUGCUAAGACUGAACCCCCAGUGAACUAGUCUAUGGGGGGAGGGCGGCAAUGGGGGGAGGGUUGGGAGGGGAACACCCAUAAGGUAGGGGAGGGGGGAGGGGGAUGUUUGCCCAGAAACCGGGAAAGGGAACAACAUUCGAAAUGUAAAUAAGAAAUACUCAAGUUAAUAAAAAAAAUAAUAAAUUAAAAAAAAGAAAGACCAAAAAAAAAAAAAAAAAAGAAAAAAAAAAAGAAAGGGACAUUCCCACUGCACACGUAUGCCCAUUAAUAGUGAGCUAUCUCUGAAUAACAGUCUUAUCAACCAUGAUGCGCCAUGACCAUCAAUAGUUACGAAAGCAAGGCCUCUCUUCUCUCCUCGCUGUCUCCUCUAACGUCUAUGGUUUCAGUCUCGCCAUCCUUCCCACAGUAGCCCCUCGGAGUACGUCUCUCUGUAUCUUCCUCCAUUCCACUGCGAUGGUGAUUCUCGGUUCUUACUUGAUUACAUCAGGAAUGAACGGCAAAUCCAAAAGUGGAGGGUGCACCAGGGAGGGAUUUCUGCUUAAUCUGAAGUAGGAGGAUCUUGAGCGAGAAGACAUACCUUGGAAUCUGGGCCAUGCCUUCUGCUGGAAGCAUAUAUAUGUGUAUGUGUAUGUGCAUGUGCGUGUGUAUGUGCAUUGUGUGUGCAUGUGCAUGCACAUAUAUUAUAUAAGGACACGGAAGAAGGGAGCUUUCGCUCUUUGCCUGUUUUGCUCCUGCUUUGCCUGUUAUUAAGUGUUACAGCAUCCAUCUUGGUACCCAUAAGCCCUUUGUCUCUGACUCCAGUCCCUGAAAGAUAAGUUUCCAGUAACCCUGACUCAGUGACCACCCCCCACACUCAAAAAGGUACAACUGUGACUAACUACUUGUCAUGACAUGACAGCUUUUUUUGCUUCUGUCACCUGCUUACACAGAUACCCAGAGAUUGUUCUGAGUUGCCUUAAGGACUUAACCUGGCAGAACAGAACAGCUUUUGCCUGCUUGCACAGAUUUGGAAGGUUUCCGUGUGGUUCCCCCCUUUAAAAUCCUUCCCCACACCCGUCCUGCAUGGCAAUCUCAAGUUUGGCUCAGAGAUUGUCAUGCUAGCCACUAACCAAUAAAUCUUUUAAUUAUACUUAAA